UACGAAGGGGGCUAGCGUUGUUCGGAAUUACUGGGCGUAAAGCGCACGUAGGCGGAUUUGUAAGUCAGGGGUGAAAUCCCGGGGCUCAACCUCGGAACUGCCUUUGAUACUGCAAGUCUCGAGUCCGAUAGAGGUGAGUGGAAUUCCUAGUGUAGAGGUGAAAUUCGUAGAGAUGUGGAGGAACACCGAUGGCGAAGGCAGCCCCCUGGGCUAACACUGACGCUCAUGCACGAAAGCGUGGGGAGCAAACAGG
rnacentral:rRNA from 1 species